UCGCUGUGAUGAUGCUUUUCCUGCCAUUCGUAGUUUCCACCAGAGGUCCCCCAGACCAAAGAUGGUUCAAACCUUCCUUGGAUGUCUGAGCGA
rnacentral:snoRNA from 1 species